CGUGAGAUGUUGGGUUAAAGUCCCGCAACGAGCGCAACCCCUGUUGUUAGUUGCUACGCAAGAGCACUCUAGCGAGACUGCGUUGACAAAACGGAGGAAGGUGGGGACGACGUCAAAUCAUCAUGCCCCUUAUAUCCUGGGCUACACACGUAAUACAAUGGCGGUCAACAGAGGGAAGCAAAGCCGCGAGGCAGAGCAAACCCCCAAAAGCCGUCCCAGUUCGGAUUGUAGGCUGCAACUCGCCUGCA
rnacentral:rRNA from 1 species